AGUUCGUUAUAAGCAUACCAGAAUUUUUGGUGUUUGGUGACUCUAAUAACGAUGGCAUCUUCGAAUGUCAGACCCUUGAACGAACAGAAGUGAAUGCCGAGAAAACCGAAGCUACCUACCUGCUUAACUUCAAGGGCCGGCAUGGCAGCAAGGUGAAAGAUGUGCCCUUCCACUUAAUUGCUGGAUCAACGCCCGACACUUUCGCUUACACUCCGGAAGACGAUCCGAACUACACUGAAGUAGUCAAGAUCACUUACACCAACUUCAAGAACUGUGGUGUAGCUCAAGGCAAAUACUACGAUGAACGUUGCCUACUGUACGUCACCAAGGAUGUUGCUAAUGAUGUGCCAGCGGAAUGUACGAAAAACUUCGAAGAAAUCUGCGGAGUCUCAUCUUCCUCUAACUGGGAUGACGUAUGUGGAGAAGACGCGUAGACCACGCGGGCAUCAGGAAAGUGACAUAAAAAAAAUAGCCUUAAGACCCGUGAAGUGU